CCUACGGGAGGCAGCAGUGGGGAAUAUUGGACAAUGGGCGAAAGCCUGAUCCAGCAAUGCCGCGUGAGUGAAGAAGGCCUUCGGGUUGUAAAGCUCUUUUACCCGGGAAGAUAAUGACUGUACCGGGAGAAUAAGCUCCGGCUAACUCCGUGCCAGCAGCCGCGGUAAUACGGAGGGAGCUAGCGUUGUUCGGAAUUACUGGGCGUAAAGCGUACGUAGGCGGCUUGGUAAGUCAGAGGUGAAAGCCCACGACUCAAUCGUGGAACUGCCUUUGAGACUGCUUCGCUUGAAGAUGGGAGAGGUUAGUGGAAUUCCGAGUGUAGAGGUGAAGUUCGUAGAUAUUCGGAAGAACACCAGUGGCGAAGGCGGCUAACUGGACCAUUCUUGACGCUGAGGUACGAAAGCGUGGGGAGCAAACAGGAUUAGAUACCCUGGUAGUCCACGCCGUAAACGAUGAUAACUAGCUGUCGGGGCUCUUGGAGCUUCGGUGGCGCAGCUACGACAUUAAGUUAUCCGUCCGUCGGGUAGGUACGGCCGCGAACGGUUAAAACGUAACGAAAGUAGAAGUUAGACGGCGUGUAGACGUUGCCGAACGGACGACGACGAGGGAGGAGG
rnacentral:rRNA from 1 species